GACGAACGCUGGCGGCGUGCCUAAUACAUGCAAGUUGAGCGCUGAAGGUUGGUACUUGUACCGACUGGAUGAGCAGCGAACGGGUGAGUAACGCGUGGGGAAUCUGCCUUUGAGCGGGGGACAACAUUUGGAAACGAAUGCUAAUACCGCAUAAAAACUUUAAACACAAGUUUUAAGUUUGAAAGAUGCAAUUGCAUCACUCAAAGAUGAUCCCGCGUUGUAUUAGCUAGUUGGUGAGGUAAAGGCUCACCAAGGCGAUGAUACAUAGCCGACCUGAGAGGGUGAUCGGCCACAUUGGGACUGAGACACGGCCCAAACUCCUACGGGAGGCAGCAGUAGGAAAUCUUCGGCAAUGGACGAAAGUCUGACCGAGCAACGCCGCGUGAGUGAAGAAGGUUUUCGGACCGUAAAACUCUGUUGGUAGAGAAGAACGUUGGUGAGAGUGGAAAGCUCAUCAAGUGACGGUAACUACCCAGAAAGGGACGGCUAACUACGUG
rnacentral:rRNA from 1 species